rnacentral:rRNA from 1 species
GAUGAGCGCUGGCGGCGUGCCUAAUACAUGCAAGUCGAGCGAAUGGAUUAAGAGCUUGCUCUUAUGAAGCUAGCGGCGGACGGGUGAGUAACACGUGGGUAACCUGCCCAUAAGACUGGGAUAACUCCGGGAAACCGGGGCUAAUACCGGAUAACAUUUUGAACCGCAUGGUUCGAAAUUGAAAGGCGGCUUCGGCUGUCACUUAUGGAUGGACCCGCGUCGCAUUAGCUAGUUGGUGAGGUAACGGCUCACCAAGGCAACGAUGCGUAGCCGACCUGAGAGGGUGAUCGGCCACACUGGGACUGAGACACGGCCCAGACUCCUACGGGAGGCAGCAGUAGGGAAUCUUCCGCAAUGGACGAAAGUCUGACGGAGCAACGCCGCGUGAGUGAUGAAGGCUUUCGGGUCGUAAAACUCUGUUGUUAGGGAAGAACAAGUGCUAGUUGAAUAAGCUGACACCUUGACGGUACCUAACCAGAAAGCCACGGCUAACUACGUGCCAGCAGCCGCAGUAA